GCCGAAGUGGUGGAACGGCAGACACGCUCGACUCAAAAUCGAGUGCUUCGGCGUGCGGGUUCAAAUCCCGCCUUCGGCA
rnacentral:tRNA from 1 species